rnacentral:tRNA from 1 species
UCGGGUGUCGUCUAACGGCAGGACAGCAGAUUUUGAUUCUGCUUAUCGUGGUUCGAAUCCAUGCACCCGAACCA